rnacentral:rRNA from 1 species
CUGGCUCAGAACGACGCUGGCGGCGCGUUUAAGCAUGCAAGUCGAGCGGCAAGGGCCUUCGGGCCCCUAGAGCGGCGGACGGGUGAGUAACACGUGGACAAUCUGCCCCCGGCCCGGGAUAGCCCAGGGAAACCUGGAUUAAUACCGGAUGAGACGGGACCUGCGAUGGCGGGAUCCGGGAAAGGCGCUACGGCGCCGCCGGGGGAUGAGUCUGCGUCCCAUUAGCUAGACGGCGGGGUAACGGCCCACCGUGGCGACGAUGGGUAGCCGGCCUGAGAGGGUGGACGGCCACAUUGGAACUGAGACACGGUCCAGACUCCUACGGGAGGCAGCAGCUAAGAAUCUUCCGCAAUGGGCGAAAGCUUGACGGAGCCGACGCCGCGUGAACGAAGAAGGCCGUGAGGUUGUAAAGUUCUUUUCGGGAGGGGGAACAACCGUGGCAGGGAAUGGCCGCGGGAUGACGUGAAUCCCGGAAUAAGCCCCGGCUAACUACGUGCCAGCCGCGGC